CCCCAUCCCCUGCUUCGCCGCCGCCGGAGGGGACGCGGGCUAAGCCGCGCGUACUCCAGGGAUGGUGGCGGCGGGGCUCUCACGGCUGGCGUUCUCGCGGAUCCGAGGCGGCGGCCUCUGCUCAGGCGGACGGUGGGCGUCGGUAGCAGCGUCACGCGACGGAUGCCGCUCGGUGGUCGGCGCUGAGCGCGGAUCUGGGUCGCCCUGCGCGAGGUGAGGGCGCCCGGAGCUCUGCUCGGCCUCGGGGCCGCGGUGCCGGCCUCCGUGCUCCGGUGGUCCACCUUGGGUCGCGCGGCGGCGUCCUGCCCAUGGCCUCGCCUCCUGAUGGUUCUGGGCCAGCCGCGGUUCGCGUUGGGGGUGGAUCUUGAGGCUUGGUGGUGAUGUGUUUCGCUGGACUGGCUGAAUCCGAUUGGAUCGGCCCAUGGUCGUCCGGCUUGGGGCAGAGGAGGGUGGUGGCGGCUCGCUGCUGGAAGCUAGGCUGUGUGCUGUAGGUGGGGGUGGCUGCGUGGAGGAGGGGUGGUGGGCGGUGGAGGUGCUGCAACAGCAAGGUUCGAUCCCCCCGCCUUCAGUCUGCAUUGCGGGCGCUUCGGAUCUGGCCUCCCGCAGGCGUGCGGUGGCGCGCGUGGGGCGCGUCGGCGUGCCUGAUGUAUGACUGUAGCCCGGAACCAUGGUGGUUCUUGGCCUCGGGCAUCGCCCCUCUGCUCCUUGCCUGCAUGGUGCUUGGUGGGGCACGGUGGCUCACGUUGCGUCCGGUGGCUCUGCGUCCGGCCGGCCAUUGAUGGAUCUGGCGUCGAGUGCUGAGUUUGGACGUCGGUGGUCUCCGCGAGGUGCGGCUGGCUGAGGCGGUUCGUCGUGCUUCUUCAUCGUUGGAGGGUUCGACGGCAGUGGUGGUCGGCUGCCGUCUUGCUGUAGGGAUGUGCUCAAACUCCGGGUGAGAACCCUGCAUCGGCUCUGUUGAUGCCGGCGGCAGCAGCGUCUACGGACGUCGUUUUUCUCGUAGGAGGUGCCAUCGUGGAGCUACAUCACCUACAGUUCUUUGUUUGUGGUCUCCGAGUGAAAACCCAAGAUCGGGCUUGCCGGAUCGGAUGACGGUGUUGUGUGCUCGACAACACUACCUCCUUGGAGGCGUCGUCUUGGAGACCCAAACAACGGCUUCUGUUGCUGUGUGUGGUGGUGUGUGGUGCGUUUGGUGGUGGUGGUGCGGCCUGCUCAGGACUGAGGGUGGUGUGUUCUUCUUCAGGUGUUUCUCUUCGACUGUCCUACGUGUGGUCUCCGGCCUGCUACUAUGCAUGCUCAUGACCCUGUUCUGUUGAGGCGAGCCUCGGGCUCUUGGUCUCGUCUUGGUUCACCUUUGCUCAAUGAUGACGCAAUGACGCCUCCCCGACUUGCUAAUCGUCUUGAACUUCCGUGACAGAGCGCUCAGUCAAGGUUCGUGUUAGUUUUGGCACAAGGUUCGUGUUAAGCUUUGGCACUCGUUGAUUGUGGAUGCUCCUCUGUUGUGCCGUGGGGUUUGAUACGCACGCCGGUGCGGUGCGUUAGGCUGUUUAUAGAGUCUUGGUAUUGUGAUCCCUCGACGCACCCCUCAUCUACCUGGUCCUGUUAGUAUGCUAGCUAGGUCUUGCCUUAUGUUGGGCGUCAUGUUCCUCUCCUUUCCUUAUAACACUUGUUACUUGUCUGGUUUUUGGCUUGGUUUUCCUCAUAAACGGGGUCAAUUUGUUAAGGUUUUCGAUCCGGUUUUCUUUAUAAACUGGAUCACUCUCCUAGCAUUAUGGCCACUUUGAGCAAUAUAUUCAGGUGGAGGGACUCCUCCCCCGGUGAUUCUAAAAAAAAGGGGGGGAUUAUCUUUAUAUCUUCCUAAGUGACUUGCAGCUAGCAAUGCUGGAUUGGUAUCUAUACCUUUUUUUGCAACGAGUAUGCUGCUUGCCAGCCGUUUCUACACUGGAGCACCUUCAGUCAUUUGUGCACCUACAGAUGUGUAAUCCAGAUUAUAUAUGUUUGAUAUUUUUCGACAAAACUGUAAUCUUAAUUUUAAGUGACACCAUUAGUUCAAUGGCAAAAUCUGUCCGAGCAUUUUAUAUGCCUUAGGUAUUGUGACAGGAUUAAUGUAAAUACUUUUGCCUCUCUUCAUAGCCGUCUUAAAUCACCACAUUAGUUCUCAUAAUGACCAGUAACAUCUUAUUGCAGAGGUUACAUCUUCUUCAAGUUUACUAGUGAUUGAGGCGCCAUCAUGUGGCGUCGCUUAAGAGGAAGCUGUGUCCACGUUUCCAUUUAAAGAAAAUACAUAGAGUCCUCGAGUCCUCGCCUCCUUCUAAAAAACAUGUCAAAAAAAAUAUCCUCACCUUCAUCUAAAAAAAUGUAAACAAGAAAAAAGAAAAAAAAAUACCACAACAACCUACCAGCGAGUGCCACUUUGCAUAAUCAACCAUUUAAAAAAAUACCAGAGGUCCUCAUCUUCAUCUAAAAAAAUACA